rnacentral:lncRNA from 1 species
AUUUUUUUUUUUUUUUAUUUGUGUCUGGGGUGCACAUUUUGAGGCAGGUGAUGUAUAUAGCCCAGACUGGACUCAAGCUUGCAGACCUUCUGCCUCAGCCUCCCGAGUACCAGAAUACCAGGCAUGUGUUCCCAAGGCUGAUGUCAUACGACCCCUGUAUUUGUAUCUUCAGAUCUAAGAAAUACUGGAAGACUUGGUAAAAAGCACAGGACUUCAGGCCACCAGACAGAGCAUCUUUUGCCUUUCCCAUAUUUGAAAUAACUGCAGAGCCCCUGGCCUUGUCCAUAGUUGAGACUUUCUAGGGUCACCAGAAAUGACAUGAUGACGAAUUAACCUCAGUGACAGGGCAGUCUGCUCUGAGGCCUGUGUAUAAACUAGAGAGUUCAAGUUCUCAGGGUUCCUUGCGGGCAAGGUAAAGUUGGGUAUCUGGCUGGUGAACACAGACUCCCUCUCUGCUACUGUGUGCCUGAGUUUCUGCUACAUUGGAAGUGUAUAUAGAAAAUGACCACUGCCACCUCAUCACAGCAGUGUCAUGAGAACUUGAGUUUCUUUAAAAUUAGAAAGCAGGGCUGGAGAGUUGGCUCAGUUACUAAGAACACUUGCUGCUUUUCCAGAGGGACCUGAGUUCAGUUCCAGCACCCACAUCAGGUGGAUCACAACCAAUCACCUGUACCUAGCUCCAGGGAGUCCAAUGUCCUCUUCUGCAGACAUUAGUGCUCAUAUACAUACACCUGAGUAAAAAUAAAAUAGCUUAAAAAGAAAAAGCAAUUGACAUGUGCUAAGCACACUGUGCCCUUGACAGAGAGCCGGCCUUUACAAAGCAGGGUGUCUGGCCCUUGGUUCACCUGCCUUGUGAAAGUUGACACCUCUACCCAACGUUGUUGUGCCUUUUGAUUUUGGUUUUGUUUGAGACAUAGUCUCAUGUAGCCCAGGCUGACCUUGGGCUACCCUUCUGCCCCUCAGGUACUAGCUUUGUAGGCAUGUACUACCACACCGGCCCGUGGGGCCUAGUUCCUGAUGGUAUCAAUUCUGAACACAUCUUUCCUGUCUCCCACAGGAAGUUUUGCAGCCCCUGCAUGGCCAGGAGGCAGAGGAAAAGCCCAGAGACCAGAGGCUGCAAGCAAAAGACCAAGAGCUGGUUCCUCAGAUGCAGGGUCCACAGUAAAAAAGCCUCGGAAAUGUAGCCUUUGUCACCAGCCUGGACACACCCGAACCUUUUGUCCUCAGAACAGAUGAUAGCCGGGGAGGUGGAAGAAAUUGCCUAGACCAGGAAUGAACUAGCUAGGACCAGGUGGCUGUGCACUGUCCUGGAAACCUAGGGAGGUACUGGGUUUUAAAGUUGGCCUUCUUUUGUUGAGUACAAAGACCAGACAUGUCUGGAGAGUCUGGCUGGCUCUGCUGGAUGCUGCAGCUCUGUCUGCAGCUCACAGUGACUCUGGCUGCUGCACUGAUGGAAAAUGAGAAAUGGGCAGUCAGCAUGUAAGCAGAACUGACCUUGAGUGGCCUUCCAAGCCCUGACCGUGGCCACAGUCUGCCAGGUGAAAAGCAGGUACUGCUUUCGGCCAGCCCCGGCAUCCGCGUGGGCCUUCUCUGCACAGCUGUUGGAGAGGUGGCUAGCCUGUGUGUCCCCAGAAGCUUCCGCUCCUGCUCCAUCUAGGACACCCAUAGCUCAUGUGCCUUAAUAAAAAAAAUGCAUCCAUAUUUUCUGGUGGCAUUCAGUCUGGGAUGCCAGCAGGAGCCAGUGAAGGCCAAGGGACCUCUUCUUGGGACUCUCUAGCUCAUCUCUGUACCCUCUUGCCUGGUUCUUCCCUGCUGUGGCUUGUCCCUUGAAACUGGCAGAUCCUGGGAUGCUGACCUUUGCAGAGGAAGGAGACUGUGACUGUACCCUUACAAACUUCUAGACGAGUCAUGCUAGCAUUGUCCCACACUUGAGAAGUGAAAUGGGAGUUGUUCCUUGAGUUACAAGUUAGUGAAGCAACUCGGGUUGUCUUGAGGUCAGAGCAAUAGCCUUGAUUAGACAGGAACUCUCAGCCUGGCCGGCAGCAGGGUUUCACUGGUGACUGUUCCUACCACUGCUCAGGGGCACUGUUUGCAGCCUGCAUUUAGGAUCUGACCCUGGUCCACCACUCACAGCUGGCCUUACCUGUUUGAACACUUCAAUGGAAACCUCAUGUACCUGCUGUGCCUAGGCCAGCCUCAAGCUCAGAGAUCGCCUGCCUCUGCCUCCAGAGGGCUGGAGAUAAAGGUGUGUGCUGCCCUGCCGCCUUCCAUUUGUUUAUUUGGAAAUUUUGUCCAAGGUCUAUAUUGCUGCUUAGACUUUGUUUUUCAAGACAGUAUUUCUCUGUGUAGCCCUAGAGAUCGCCUGCCUCCUGAGUGCUGGAGUUUAAGGCAUACACCACCACAUCUGGCACUUGAGAGUGAGAAUGACAGGGUUUGACAUUCUAGCAAAGCUGGCAAGGAUAACAGCUGACCUUGGACAGGCAGUUGUCUCAGUCUAAGCACAAGACUGGAGACAUAGCCACCAAUGUGUGUUGAUUCUACAAUUGAAAGUUCUGGAUUCUAAAGUCAGCUGCUACC